CUUUAGUCACUUUUACGCUAAACUAGAAUAAACCAAGUUAGCGAGAUGAUAUAUACAGUACUGGCAGCAUUUCUCUUGAUUUUCAAUGUUCUUCAAGUGGCAUCAUUGAAUAAUUUUAUAAUGGCACAAGGUUCAACUAGUUGUAAACACCACGAGAAGUUUCAGUGCAAACCUUGCUUUGAACCGUCAUGCGAACAAUUCCUAUAUGACGGUGAAAAAUGUUCCAAGGAGUGCGUCAUGAUAUGCGCUUGUAAACUGGGAUAUGUACGAAAACUGGGAAGUUGUGUUAGAAAAGCAGAAUGCUGUGAUAAACGCAAAUGCGUAUCUACUAGAGAGCAACUUCUUAAAUAGAUUCGAAAAGCCUAAUUAAAUUUCAAUAAUUUUAAAAUAAAUGUUUCGCAGUAACAAAACGUUGAAAAUAAAAAUAAUUAAAAAUUAA